CCUACGGGAGGCAGCAGUAGGGAAUUUUCGUCAAUGGGCGCAAGCCUGAACGAGCGAUGCCGCGUGAGUGAAGAAGGCCUUCGGGUCGUAAAGCUCUGUUGCGGGGGAAAAAAGUCAGCAUCAGGAAAUGGGUGCUGACUGAUGGUGCCCCGCCAGAAAGUCACGGCUAACUACGUGCCAGCAGCCGCGGUAAUACGUAGGUGGCGAGCGUUAUCCGGAAUGACUGGGCGUAAAGGGUGCGCAGGCGGUCCUGCAAGUCUGGAGUGAAACGCAUGAGCUCAACUCAUGCAUGGCUUUGGAAACUGGAGGACUGGAGAGCAGGAGAGGGAGGUGGAAUUCCAGGUGUAGCGGUGAAAUGCGUAGAUAUAUGGAAGAACACCAGUGGCGAAGGCGGCCGCCUGGACUGUUGCUGACGCUGAGGCACGAAAGCGUGGGGAGCAAAUAGGAUUAGAUACCCGUGUAGUC
rnacentral:rRNA from 1 species